GACGAACGCUGGCGGCGUGCUUAACACAUGCAAGUCGAACGGAAAGGCCCUGCUUUUGUGGGGUGCUCGAGUGGCGAACGGGUGAGUAACACGUGAGUAACCUGCCCUUGACUUUGGGAUAACUUCAGGAAACUGGGGCUAAUACCGGAUAGGAGCUCCUGCUGCAUGGGGGGGGUUGGAAAGUUUCGGCGGUUGGGGAUGGACUCGCGGCUUAUCAGCUUGUUGGUGGGGUAGUGGCUUACCAAGGCUUUGACGGGUAGCCGGCCUGAGAGGGUGACCGGCCACAUUGGGCCUGAGAUACGGCCCAGACUCCUACGGGAGGCGGCAGUGGGGAUUAGUGCACAAUGGGCGGAAGCCUGAUGCAGCAACGCCGCGUGCGGGAUGACGGCCUUCGGGUUGUAACCCGCUUUCGCCUGUGACGAAGCGUGAGUGACGGUAAUGGGUAAAGAAGCACCGGCUAACUACGUG
rnacentral:rRNA from 1 species